CUGAAGGUCCUUGAGCUUUCCAAGCAAGUACUUGGUGGCACCCUCAAUGUUCUUCUUGAAUUCCUCUUGCUUUUCCGCAUCCAGCUUGGCGGAGAGGUUCUUGAUGUAGCGCUUCAUGAAGGUCACAAACUGCUUCUUGUCAAAAGGAGGUUGCUCCUGCCAAACACACAUGGAAUUUAAGCACAAAAAUAAAGUGCAGAUAGUAUCAUAUACAAGAGCCAAGGUAAUGGAAGUGAGAGCAACCUGAAGACGGAAGGUGUCCACAAUGUCGACCACCUUCACAGCUUGGUCAUCAACACCCUCAUCAUCACCACCACCCUCAGCAGAUGGGUUGGCACCAAUGUCCACAUCAAUAGCUCCUUGAACGACCCACUGCAAGGAUACAACAUAAUAUAAGUAACCAAACAGAAUCAAAUGACAUCUUCACAAGGUAAUAGACAAAAUCGUGGUUAUCUCAAAAGAUAUCCACAGCUGCAUUCUGUUGCAAUAAUUCAUAUAUGCAGUUGAUCAAAACAUCCAUUGGUAUUGAAAUUUGAAAGGAAAGCAAACAUCAAAUUAAUACUCAAAACGAAAGCAAGAUUGUUUCACUGGUUAGGAACAUAUUAUAAUGAUCUCUGAUUUGAAAAACAUGUUUCAUUGAUACAACUAAAUAAAUCGAUACAUUGGAAAUAUCAAUCAACCUAGAAUCCUCAACGCAAAUCUUUCUAAUCCUCAUGCAUUGCAACAAUUAAUAAGGUCAAAAGCCACGUAGCACAGCAUCCACGAGUAUGCAUGAUAUUUAAAGCCUCAGAAGCAUAGACAAGCACUUCAUCUUUUUUUACGAAAUGCCCAAAAGGCUCAUAAUUAAGCUAACUCUGCACAAAUAUGUUGUGCCAAGCAAGCAGUGAAUAAUUUAACAUGCAAUGACAUAUCCACUAAAGAUCGAAGUGUUCACCAAACGGAAUGAUCGAAUUUCACAUAACCAUGUUACACUGAAUCUAAUCGAGGACGGCAACAGAUCAAUCAAAAGCUAGCAAAAGCAUACAGCUGGUGAAUCCGCCUACUAAACAGAAAGCGAC
rnacentral:lncRNA from 1 species